rnacentral:rRNA from 1 species
AGAGUGAACGCUGGCGGUAGGCCUAACACAUGCAAGUCGAACGGCAGCACGGUAAGAGCUUGCUCUUAUGGGUGGCGAGUGGCGGACGGGUGAGGAAUACAUCGGAAUCUACCUUUUGGUGGGGGAUAACGUAGGGAAACUUACGCUAAUACCGCAUACGCCCUUCGGGGGAAAGCCGGGGACCAGCAAUGGCCUGGUGCUGAUAGAUGAGCCGAUGUCGGAUUAGCUAGUUGGUGAGGUAAUGGCUCACCAAGGCGACGAUCCGUAGCUGGUCUGAGAGGAUGAUCAGCCACACUGGAACUGAAGACA